UCGACCUCAGAUCAGGUGGGACUCCCCGCCGAAUUUAAGCAUAUUAGUAAGCGGAGGAAAAGAAACUAACAAGGAUUCCCCUAGUAGCUGCGAGCGAACAGGGACGAGCCCAGCACUGAAUCCCAAAGGCCUCGCCUUUAGGGAAAUGUAGUGUUUAGGAGUGCCCGUUUAACCCGGGGUCCGUGCACCGCGUUCAAGUCCAUCUUGAACGGGGCCACGGUCCGAAGAGGGUGCCAGGCCCGUAGAUGACCGGUGCCGGCCCCGGGUGGGUCCCUCCUUAGAGUCGGGCUGCUUGAGAGUGCAGCCCUAAGAGGGUGGUAAACUCCAUCUAAGGCUAAAUAUAACCACGAGACCGAUAGAGAACAAGUACCGUGAGGGAAAGUUGAAAAGAACUUUGAAGAGAGAGUUCAAGAGUACGUGAAACCGCUCAGGGGUAAACGGAAAAGACCCGAAGCCCCGAAACGGGAGAUUCACGUCUUCUCGCAGGGUCCGCACCUCGAUAGUGGGGAUGGCCUUUCGCCCCGUCCGGCUCGUCCGUGGCGGUGGGUGGGCCGCCCCACGCGGAGUGUCGUUCCCGCGGGGGACCGCACUUCUCCCUUAGUAGGACGUCGCGACCCGCUCUGCGGCGGUCUAAGGUACGGAAGAUGGUCUGGCUCGUCUCCUCCGCUUCGGUGGUGGCGGCGUGACAGCUCUCCGGUACCGCGGCCGUCGGUCCGGGCGGUAUCGAAAGACUAAGGCGCUGGGCCGCUCCAUUAGCGAGCGCCGUCGUCUCCCCGCAAGACCGGGCGUUUACCAGGGGGUGCCUUAACGGACACGCCCGGCUAGGCGCUCGGGCCCCUGGUGGGUGAGCACUCCGGCACGGCCCAGUCCGCCAGUCGGCGGCGCUUCAGAUUCGGGAACUUAUCCGACCCGUCUUGAAACACGGACCAAGGAGUCUAGCGUGUGCGCGAGUCAUUGGGUGUAAAACCUAAAGGCGCAAUGAAAGUGUCAGGGGUGCCUCCUUCAGGAGCGCAUCCCGUUGGGAGGAUGGGCCGCCGUACGGCAUGCUCGUCGGAGCCCCGCACUCCCGGGGCGUCUCGUUCUCAUCACGAGUGGAGACGCACCAGGAGCGCACACGCUGGUACCCGAAAGAUGGUGAACUAUGCCUGGCCAGGACGAAGCCAGGGGAAACCCUGGUGGAGGUCCGAAGCGAUUCUGACGUGCAAAUCGAUCGUCUGAGCUGGGUAUAGGGGCGAAAGACCAAUCGAACCAUCUAGUAGCUGGUUCCCUCUGAAGUUUCCCUCAGGAUAGCUGGCUCUCGGGAAGAGACGAGUCUCAUCCGGUAGAGCGAAUGAUUAGAGGUGAUGGGGUCGAAACGACUUCAACCUAUUCUCAAACUCCCAAUAGAUGAGAGCCCAGGCUUGCUUAAAAGUGAAGCCGCGGGACUCGGAUCAGAGAUGCCAAGUGGGCCAAUUUUGGUAAGCAGAACUGGCGCUGUGGGAUGAACCAAACGCAGAGUUAAGGCGCCUGAUUCGACGCUCACGUGAAACCAUGAAAGGCGUUGGUUGCUUAAGACAGCAGGACGGUGGCCAUGGAAGUCGGAAUCCGCUAAGGAGUGUGUAACAACUCACCUGCCGAAGCAACUAGCCCUGAAAAUGGAUGGCGCUGUAGCGUCGUGCCUAUACUCUGCCGUCAACGGCAAAGCGGGCCGCCCCCCAGCGGGGAGUCGCCGUUAAGCCUUGACGAGUAAGAGGGUCGCGGCGGUGUGCGCGGAAGGGUCUGGGCGCGAGCCCGCCUGGAGCCGCCGCCGGUGCAGAUCUUGGUGGUAGUAGCAAAUACUCCAGCGAGGCCCUGGAGGACUGAUGUGGAGAAGGGUUUCUUGUGAACAGCUGUUGCACAAGAGUCAGUCGAUCCUAAGCCCUAGGAGAAAUCCGAAGAGAAUGGUUGCCGUUAAUGUUGUACCAUGCGCGGCACUCGGCGUAGAGCUUUCUCUGGUAUAGAUCCCGGAGGAGCCUACGCCGGCGCGUACGAGUGCAGGCACCGUUCGGGCGAAAGGGAAUCCGGUUCCUAUUCCGGAACCCGGCAGCGGAACCGCUCCAAUUCGGGCCCUCAUCAGAGGACUCGUCGGGGUGACCCGAAAUGACCCGGAGAAGCCGUAGGGAGGUCCGGGGAGAGUUGUCUCUUCUCUAUAAGCGUUCGAGUUCCCUGGAAGCCUCUAGGAGGGAGAUAGGGUUUGGAACGCGAAGAGCACCGCACUUACGGCGGUGUCCGGAUCUUCCCCUCGGACCUUGAAAAUCCGGGCGAGGGCCACGGGGAACACCGCGCCGGCUCGUACCCAUAUCCGCAGCAGGUCUCCAAGGUGAAUAGCCUCUAGUCGAUAGAAUAAUGUAGGUAAGGGAAGUCGGCAAACCCGAUCUGUAACUUCGGGAUAAGGAUUGGCUCUGAGGAUCGUGGCGCGCCGGGCUUGGUCGGGAAGUGGAGCGGUGCCAACGUGCCGGGCCUGGGCGAGGUGAAAGGCGUU
rnacentral:rRNA from 1 species